CACCGCGGUUAUACGAGAGGCCCAAGUUGACAGACAACGGCGUAAAGAGUGGUUAAGGAAACCCAAAAACUAAAGCCGAACGCUCUCAGAGCUGUUAUACGCAUCCGAAGGUAUGAAGCCCAACUACGAAAGUGGCUUUACAUCACCCGAACCCACGAAAGCUAAGAAACAAACUGGGAUUAGAUACCCCACUAUGCUUAGCCCUAAACAUCGAUUAUUUACUACACCCUAAAUCCGCCCGGGAAUUACGAGCAUAAGUUUAAAACCCAAAGGACUUGGCGGUGCUUAACAUCCACCUAGAGGAGCCUGUUCUAGAACCGAUAACCCCCGUUCAACCUCACCCUCCCUUGCUUUUCCCGCCUAUAUACCACCGUCGUCAGCUUACCCUGUGAAGGUUUUAUAGUAAGCAAAGUUGGCACAGCCUAAAACGUCAGGUCGAGGUGUAGUGCAUGAGAGGGGAAGAAAUGGGCUACAUUCGCUACCGAUAGCGAAUUACGAAUGUUGCAUUGAAACAUGCAGCUGAAGGAGGAUUUAGCAGUAAGCAGAAAGCAGAGCGUCCCGCUGAAACUGGCCCUAAAGCGCGCACACACCGCCCGUCACCCUCCCCAAGCUUCCGGCCCUAAUUAACUAAAACCCUACAACUGCAAAGGAGAGGAAAGUCGUAA
rnacentral:rRNA from 1 species